AAGCUCAAUUUUGAAUCUGGCGGUCAUUUCGGCCGUCCGAGUUGUAAUCUAGAGAAGCGUCUUCCGCGCUGGACCGUGUACAAGUCUCCUGGAAGGGAGCGUCAUAGAGGGUGAGAAUCCCGUCUUUGGCAUGGACUACCAGUGCUAUGUGAUGCGCUCUCGACGAGUCGAGUUGUUUGGGAAUGCAGCUCAAAAUGGGUGGUAAAUUCCAUCUAAAGCUAAAUACAGGCGAGAGACCGAUAGCGAACAAGUACCGUGAGGGAAAGAUGAAAAGAACUUUGGAAAGAGAGUUAAACAGUACGUGAAAUUGCUGAAAGGGAAACGCUUGAUGUCAGUCACGUUCGCCAGGGAUCAACCUCGCUUUAUCGCUGGGUGCAUUUCUUGGUCGGACGGGUCAGCAUCAGUUUCAAUCGUCGUAGAAUGGUCAAGGGAACGUGGCACCUCUAGGGGUGUGUUAUAGCCCUCGAUCGUAUGCGUCGGUGGGGACUGAGGAACUCGGCACGACCUUUACUGGUCUGUGUCUAGGAUGCUGGCAUAAUGGCCUUAAGCGA
rnacentral:rRNA from 1 species